rnacentral:rRNA from 1 species
UACGUAGGGGGCAAGCGUUGUCCGGAAUCAUUGGGCGUAAAGAGCGUGUAGGCGGCUCGGUAAGUCCGCUCUGAAAGCCCGGGGCUCAACCCCGGGAGGCGGGCGGAUACUGUCGGGCUAGAGUCCGGAAGAGGCGAGUGGAAUUCCUGGUGUAGCGGUGAAAUGCGCAGAUAUCAGGAGGAACACCAGUGGCGAAGGCGGUGCUCUGGGCCGGUACUGACGCUGAGGAGCGAAAGCGUGGGGAGCGAACAGG